GAGGUAGGGGCAAUAAAUCACAAUGCGGAACAAUGUUUUGCAAUUGGAUUGAGAACAACGUACAAACCUUAUCGAUAAACAAUUGGAGGGCAAGUCUGGUGCCAGCAGCCGCGGUAAUUCCAGCUCCAAUAGCGUAUAUUAACGUUGUUGCAGUUAAAAAGCUCGUAGUUGAAAUGAAGGGUAGUUGUGUAAUGAAUACAUUCGUGUAUUUUGUUAUUCUACUACCCUCCUUCUAAAUUCGAUAUAUGAGUAUUAAUUUACUUGUAUAUGGUUUUAGACGUUUACUGUGAGAAAAUUAGAGUGUUCAAAGCAGGCAUUUGCUUGAAUAUAUUAGCAUGGAAUAAUCAUGUAUGAUUUUCAUGAUGUAUUUGAUUGGUUUGGUUCAUGAGAAUAAGAUUAAAAGGGACAGUUGGGGGUAUUCAUAUUCAAUAGUCAGAGGUGAAAUUCUCGGAUUUAUGGAAGAUGAACAAUGGCGAAAGCA
rnacentral:rRNA from 1 species